rnacentral:tRNA from 5 species
GGACAAUUAGCUCAGUUGGUUAGAGCGUUCGCUUCACACGCGAGAGGUCACUGGUUCGAAUCCAGUAUUGUCCA